rnacentral:rRNA from 1 species
AUGGGCGUAAAGAGCUCGUAGGUGGUUUGUCGCGUCGUUUGUGUAAGCCCGCAGCUUAACUGCGGGACUGCAGGCGAUACGGGCAUAACUUGAGUGCUGUAGGGGAGACUGGAAUUCCUGGUGUAGCGGUGGAAUGCGCAGAUAUCAGGAGGAACACCGAUGGCGAAGGCAGGUCUCUGGGCAGUAACUGACGCUGAGGAGCGAAAGCAUGGGGAGCGAACAGGAUUAGAUACCCUGGUAGUCCAUGCCGUAAACGGUGGGCGCUAGGUGUGAGUCCCUUCCACGGGGUUCGUGCCGUAGCUAACGCAUUAAGCGCCCCGCCUGGGGAGU